rnacentral:misc_RNA from 1 species
GAUUUAAAAUGGCUCAGAUUGAACGCUGGCGGGAUGCUUUACAUGCAAGUCGAACGGCAGCACGGACUUCGGUCUGGUGGCGAGAGUGGCGAACGGGUGAGUAAUGUAUCGGAACGUGCUAGUAGCGGGGGAUAACUACGCGAAGCGUAGCUAAUGCCACCAUCGCCCUUCGGGGGAAAGCGGGGGACCUUCGGGCCUCGCACUAUUAGAGCGGCCGAUAUCGGAUUAGCUAGUUGGUGGGGUAACGGCUCACCAAGGCGACGAUCCGUAGCUGGUUUGAGAGGACGACCAGCCACACUGGGACUGAGACACGGCCCAGACUCCUACGGGAGGCAGCAGUGAAAUUUUGGACAAUGGGGGAAACCCUGAUCCAGCCAUCCCGCGUGUGCGAUGAAGGCCUUCGGGUUGUAAAGCACUUUUGGCAGGAAAAAGAAACGGCACGGGAUAAUACCCCGUGCAACUGACGUACCUGCAGAAUAAGCACCGGCUAACUACGAGCCAGCAGCCGCGGUAAUACGUAAGUGCAGCGUUAAUCGGAAUUACUGGGCGUAAAGCGUGCGCAGGCGGUUCGGAAAGAAAGAUGUGAAAUCCAGAGCUUAACUUUGGAACUGCAUUUUUAACUACCGAGCUAGAGUGUGUCAGAGGUGGAAUUCCGCGUGUAGCAGUAGUACGUAGAUAUGCGGAGGAACACCGAUGGCGAAGGCAGCCUCCUGGGAUAACACUGACGCUCAUGCACGAAAAGCGUGGGGAGCAAACAGGAUUAGAU